AACGAACGCUGGCGGCAGGCUUAACACAUGCAAGUCGAGCGCGGUCUUUCGGGACUGAGCGGCGGACGGGUGAGUAACGCGUGGGAACGUGCCCUUCUCUCUGGAAUAGCCCUGGGAAACCGGGAGUAAUGCCGGAUACGCCCCCUGGGAGUGGAUCCCGGGGGGGAAAGAUUUAUCGGGGAAGGAUCGGCCCGCGUUGGAUUAGGUAGUUGGUGGGGUAACGGCCUACCAAGCCGACGAUCCAUAGCUGGUUUGAGAGGAUGAUCAGCCACACUGGGACUGAGACACGGCCCAGACUCCUACGGGAGGCAGCAGUGGGGAAUCUUGGACAAUGGGGGCAACCCUGAUCCAGCCAUGCCGCGUGAGCGAUGAAGGCCUUAGGGUUGUAAAGCUCUUUCAGCUGGGAAGAUAAUGACGGUACCAGCAGAAGAAGCCCCGGCUAACUCCGUGCCAGCCGCCGCAGUAACAC
rnacentral:rRNA from 1 species